rnacentral:rRNA from 1 species
UGAGGAACAUGACCUUCGGCGGGGGAUAGCCGGCCCAACGGCCGGGUAAUACCGCGUACGACCACUCGGGGACAUCCCUAGGUGGUGAAAGCAGCAAUGCGCCGAUGGAGUGCCUCGCGGCCUAUCAGCUAGUUGGUGGGGUAACGCUCACCAAGGCGACGACGGGUAGCUGGUCUGAGAGGACGACCAGCCACACUGGAACUGAGAUACGGUCCAGACUCCGUACGGGGAGGCAGC